rnacentral:rRNA from 1 species
GAUGAACGCUGGCGGCGUGCCUAAGAUAUGCAAGUCGAGCGCCCCUACUAAUUUCAGGAAGUAUUUCGUGGGAUUGGUAGGGGAGCGGCGGACGGCUGAGUAACGCGUAGGAAUGUACCUUGUAGUGAGGGAUAAGCCCGGGAAACCGGGUCUAAUACCGCAUAUUCUCUUCGGAGCAAACCCUUCGGGGACUAUAAGAGCGGCCUGCGUACGAUUAGGUUGUUGGUGAGGUAAAGGCUCACCAAGCCGAUGAUCGUUAGCUGGUCUGAGAGGAUGGUCAGCCAGACUGGGACUGAGACACGGCCCAGACCCCUACGGGGGGCAGCAAUUAGGAAUCUUUCGCAAUGAGGGAAACCCUGACGGAGCGACGCCGCGUGCAGGAGGAAGGCCUCGGGUUGUAAACUGCUUUGUAUGUGACGAUUAUGACGGUAGCAUGCGAAUAAGGACCUGCUAACUACGUGCCAGCAGCCGCGGUAAU